GGGGAGCAAAAGGUUGCCGGCUAAACAUUACAAAACCAAGGUAUGGAAACCCCUUUAUAGUCCCAACCCAUUCUAUCUUAUAAACCGGACAGAAGUGAUUGGAUAAUGUGCGGGCCCAGCUGAAGUUGCAACAGUUAGCUUGCAGCUAGCCUUGAUGUUUACUUUUGGAUAACAACUCAUGUAUGUCUUGUAAAUCUUAACUGUAUCCUUUCUGUUUGCUUUUUGGAGUGUUGUUGUGAAAUGAGUUUUUAAUUUCAGUGUUGGUUUUGGGAAGUGUUGAUCAGCUUCAUUCAAAUUUCUCCUUUGCUUGGCAAUUUAUAAAAUUAACCUUUCAGUUGAGUUGCUUGGUUAAUUUUAUGCAAUAGUCAGAAAGCUAUUCAAUCAAAGGCUUUCUCAUGGUGCAUAAAGAUUUUGCAAAAUGAAUGUCUUCAAUUGUUAAGGUUCAUCUAUAAAGAAAGAAAUGAUAGAAUUUUUACAGCAGAGACAGAGAAUAUGGAUGACAAGAUUAUCCAAUGAGAAUGUUAUUGCUUUGUGUGCUGGAUCUGCUUGCUGUAGCCUUAUUACGAUGGACUUUAAAUAUAUGAUAUCUGUUGUUGUUGCUCUAGGUUUGUUUGUGCCAGCAUAAGAUCUCCAAUCUUUAUGUGUUAUAAAAUUUUGGUCCUACUAAAGGGGACAUCUAGCAGUGACCCUGAUCAGAAAGUUCAUUUGUAUUUUAUAACUACAAUUUGUUCUAAGGGCUUCCAUCUUGUAAGGUGCUUUUUCUUUUACUUUAUGAUGACAUAUUUAACUAAAAUGGUAUGUGACAUGUGUCUUUUAUUUCUUUCAUUUUUUGAACAGGUAGAUGGCAUGGAUGCUCUUGCUGUCAAACAAGCAUGCAAAUUUGCAAAGGAGCAUGUCUUGAGGAAUGGGCCAAUUAUACUUGAAAUGGAUACCUACAGGUAUCAUGGUCACUCCAUGUCUGAUCCUGGCAGCACCUACCGUACUCGUGAUGAGAUUAGUGGCGUGAGACAGGAACGUGAUCCAAUUGAAAGGAUAAGAAAAGUGAUAUUAGCUCACGAUCUAGCUACAGAGAAAGAGCUAAAGGAUUUUGAGAAAGAAAUAAGGAAAGAGGUAGAUCAAGCCAUUGCUCAAGCCAAGGAAAGUCCGAUGCCAGAACCCUCAGAACUUUUUGCAAAUGUGUAUGUGAAAGGUCUAGGAACUGAGGUAACAAAUAUUUGCUUGUAUCUCUGUUUUUUUUUUUCCCCCUUCAUUAUUUUGUUUUCCUUUUAGGAUAAUUGUGAACUCUGUAUGAUCACAAUUUAAUAGUGUUAUGUGUGAUAAUCAGGAUAUCCUUUGAAUCAAGGACACUGGAAUGUGAAACUGCUCUACUCUUCAGAGUGAAAGAGGAAAAUUUGAAUAGCAUAAGUUAGUCAGAUGUAACUUUAUCAACUGAAAGUUCAUGCAUAUCUUAUGCGAGUUUUAUAUUAUGGUGUAUGUUCCCAAGUGCAAUGCCAUUUUAAUCAGUAUGCCUUGAAGUGAAACAUAAAGGUUUACUAACGAAAUUUCUCUGUCCGGUCUGAGCAAUCUCCUUAUUAAUUCAAUCAGACUUUUGACUCUGUGCCUGUUGCCUAAUGUAAAUAAUUUGAGCGUGUUACCGCAAAAUUACGUCUUUCCUGUAUUGGAAACAUGAAUUGUAUCUUCAAUUUCACGCAGAAUUUUAGUUUUAUUAACAUAUAGCUGUUAUCUUUCUUC
rnacentral:misc_RNA from 1 species